ensembl:lncRNA
GGGGGUGGUUGCUAAGGUGUUGCUAGGCGGUUGCUAGGGUGUUCUGAGUGGUUGCUAGGUGGUUGCUAUGGUACUUGGGGUGGUUGCUAAGGUGUUGCUAGGUGGUUGCUAGGCGGUUGCUAUGGUAACCUGGGUGGUUGCUAGGCGGUUGCUAGGCAGUUGCUAAGGUACUUUGGGUGGUUGCUAAUGUGUUGCUAGGCGGUUGCUAGGGUGCUCUGGGUGGUUGCUAGGCGGUUGCUAUGGUAACCGGGGUAGUUGCUAUGCUGUUACUAGGUGGUUGGUAGUUGUCACAGAUGGUCACUAUGUAGUUUAUAUAGAGUUCUUAGCAUGUUGUUAGCCAAUUUGAGCACUUAGCUAAUCACUAUUAGCAUGUAGCUAUUCACUGCUAGCAUGAC